rnacentral:rRNA from 1 species
GACGAACGCUGGCGGCGUGCUUAACACAUGCAAGUCGAACGGUAAGGCUCCAGCUUGCUGGGGUACACGAGUGGCGAACGGGUGAGUAACACGUGGGUGACCUGCCCUGCACUUCGGGAUAAGCCUGGGAAACUGGGUCUAAUACCGGAUAGGACCGCACCGUGAGGGUGUGGUGGAAAGUUUUUUCGGUGUGGGAUGGGCCCGCGGCCUAUCAGCUUGUUGGUGGGGUAAUGGCCUACCAAGGCGGCGACGGGUAGCCGGCCUGAGAGGGUGGACGGCCACAUUGGGACUGAGACACGGCCCAGACUCCUACGGGAGGCAGCAGUGGGGAAUAUUGCACAAUGGGCGGAAGCCUGAUGCAGCGACGCCGCGCGGGGGAUGACGGCCUUCGGGUUGUAAACUCCUUUCACCAUCGACGAAGGGUUUCUGACGGUAGAUGGAGAAGAAGCACCGGCUAACUACGUG